UAAGAAGGCAAAGUGAUAUGUUAGACAGCCGCUACACAUUCGGCAAUGAUCCGACUAACCCACCAACAUCUCUUACCUUUGGGCCCAAAUACCUACUAUUAAGAUUGUAUCAGCUCAGUCCAAUUGAGGACUGGACAUUGGCCACAACACUGGUGAGGGAAACACGUCUAUUUACUGAUCAAGAAUUGUCAAGGGACCUUGUACUAACGAGGGAGAAAUAUGGCUCGGUUAAAAGAGCUUUUAUCAUUGCAGAGAAAGAUUUUCAACAAUGGAUGAUCCAAAAAAAUCCACCCAAUGAAGUGAAAGAGAUACUAGGAUCCGAUCACAUGUCCAUGAUGUCUAAACCUAAGGAACUUUGGGCUUGUCUGCAAAGAAUUGCUAAGAACUAUAAUUGAUGCCCGUAUAUUCCCAGGAUUCCAUAUGAAUAAUAAAAAUAAGGUGUUUCUGUUACUGCCUCAACAUUUCUACUCUUAAUAAAGAGCUACUGGGUAAUUUUGUUUU